GGAUCAGAUUGUCGGUCGUGCCUCGGUACGCACUGGCAUUAUUGGUUCCUACCUUCUGAAGAACCGCGAUGUCAUUAAUUUGGUGUCGUGGGGAAUCAGGACUGUUACUUUGAAAAAAUUAGAGUGUUUAAAGCAAGCGCACGCUUGAAUACAUUAGCAUGGAAUAAUGAAAUAGGACGUUUGAUUCUAUUUUGUUGGUUUCUAGGAUCGACGUAAUGAUUAAUAGGGAUAGUUGGG
rnacentral:rRNA from 2 species